UCUAUCAGGACACGACACAGAAUAUUUUUGAAUUUGAAAAAACGCGUAAACGGUCGUCUUCAACCUUCCAACAUUCAAAAUCAAACUCAAAAGCAUGUGUUUUUGACCAGAUUAAAGCAUGGUGAUAACUUGCAAACAUGAAAACAAAUCAUCCUCCACACUCAUGAAUCAUUUAUUGGCUCUGAGUGUGGAGUAUUUAUCCAAGAACCA
rnacentral:lncRNA from 1 species